GACUAGCAGUUUAAUGAUAGAACAUUGAUUUGUCAAGUCAAAGGAGCAGAUUGUGCCUGGUCA
rnacentral:tRNA from 1 species